AUUGAACGCUGGCGGCAGGCUUAACACAUGCAAGUAGAGCGAGUGUCGGACGGGAGAGUAAUGUCUGGGUAUCUGCCUGAUGGAGGGGGAUACCUACUGGAAACGGUAGCUAAUACCGCAUACCAUCAGCGGUGCCCAGAUGGGAUGAGCUAGUAGGUGGGGUAAUGGCUCACCUAGGCGACGAUCCCUAGCUGGUCUGAGAGGAUGAUCAGCCACACUGGGAAUGAGACACGGACCAGACUCCUACGGGAGGCAGCAGUGGGGAAUAUUGCACAAUGGGCGCAAGCCUGAUACAGCCAUGCGGCGUGUAUGAAGAAGGCCUUCGGGUUGUAAAGCACUUUCAGCAGGGAGGCGUUACUCGCAGAAGAAGCACCGGCUAACUCCGUGCCAGCAGCCGCGGUAAUAC
rnacentral:rRNA from 1 species